rnacentral:rRNA from 1 species
AUUGAACGCUGGCGGCAGGCCUAACACAUGCAAGUCGAACGAGUGGCGGACGGGUGAGUAAUGUCUGGGAAACUGCCCGAUGGAGGGGGAUAACUACUGGAAACGGUAGCUAAUACCGCAUACCAUCGGAUGUGCCCAGAAGGGAUUAGCUUGUAGGUGAGGUAACGGCUCACCUAGGAGACGAUGCCUAGCUGGUUUGAGAGGAUGAACAGCAACACGGGAACUGGUACACGGGCCAGACUCCUACGGGAGGCAGCAGUUGGGAAUAUUGCACAGUGGGCGAGAGCCUUAUGCAGCCAUGCCGCGUGUAUGCAGAAUGCCUUCUGGUUGUAAAUUACUUUCAGCGGGGAGGCGUUACCCGCAGUAGAAGCACAGGCUAACUCAGUGCCAGCCGCCGCGGUUAUUC